rnacentral:rRNA from 1 species
UGGUUCUGGCAUCGAUGAAGAACGCAGCAAAAUGCGAUAAGUAAUGUGAAUUGCAGAAUUCAGUGAAUCAUCGAAUCUUUGAACGCACAUUGCGCCCGCCAGUAUUCUGGCGGGCAUGCCUGUUCGAGCGUCAUUUCAACCCUCAAGCACAGCUUGGU